CUUUUUUCUUUUUUUUCUUUUUUCUCUUUUUUCCUCUUUUUCUUUCUCUUUUCUUCUUUUUUCUCCUUCUCUCUUUUGCUUUUUUGCUUUCUUUUUUCCUCUUUUUUUCUUUUUUUCUCUUCCCCCCUUUUUUCCCUUCUUUCCUUUUUUUUCCCUUUCCCCCCUCUUUUCUUUCUCCUCUUUCCUUUUUCUUCCUUUUUUCUUUCUUUUUUCUUUUUUUCUCUUUUCCCCUUUUUCUCUUCCUUUUUUUUUCCCUUUUUUCCCCUUUCCUUCCCUUCUUCCUGAUCAGAUAAACCACCAGGCCUGAAGGUUCUCAGAAAUGUGCCCAAGUCUUCUAGCAAAAAGGAGGAAUUGAGUACUUAAUAUUAACAAGGAAAAUUACCGUCUCGUCCAGUGGAGGGAGUUUUCUUUCUUUUCCUGGAUGCACAUGUUGUGCACUUGAAGACAGAGGUGCAGAAGGACAGCCCCUAUCUACUAGUUCUGGGUUUCUUCCCUUCAAAUACUUGCUGAUGAGCAAGACAUCGUGUGUCAGCCUAAGAGAAACACAGAGAUAGGGGAACACAAGAACAACAAAAGCAUCUUCGGUGUUUCUAAAAGUGUGGAGGGAGAAGAAAACGCAGCAGCUUCACCUUGGAGGAAAGCACUGGUAGGCUGUGGGUUUCACAGCACCACUGUACCUGUCACCUCCUCCUCACGAGAGAUGUGUGCAAGACAAAGGGAACAGCCUUGCUGAGGGGAAGUGAGGGUGAGACAGAAAUUAAUCAGCAGGAGUGUUUAACACCACUGCAUCUGAACCUGAAGUUUGGGCUUCUAGCGUCUUGUGUGAUGGUGUCUGCUCCUCGAGUGGAUAAAAACCAACUAAGAUUGUGGGGCAAAGGUGAAAAAAAGAAGGUCCAGAGUGUAGCAAGUCAAUGAGUUAGAGAGCCAUAGCUCGGAGCUGGGAGUGUGCAGUUCCAUCACAGGAAACAGUUGGAAGGAGCAGUGAGCAGCCAGCCACCCCUCAGAGGUGAAGAAAACCUUGCUAAGAGACUGAGCAGUGUUUUAUUUCAGCUCAAAGCCAGCCAGCUAUGCCUAGCCUGGAAACAACAAGACUCUUGGGAGGGAAACAUUGGUUUAGAAAUUCUUCUCUUCCAUCUUGCCUAGCCAUUUUGAGUCUAUAUUCAAAAUACGGUCUCACUAAUGCGCAGAGGGAAAUCCUACUACUCUCUGCUCCUACUUGGUCUAUUUGCUUAAAGGGUUAAAUCUGCCCUUUUAUUUAUUUCUAUGUCAGUAUCUUCUGGGAUAAUUUCUCUUCCUGGGAGACAUCUAUUCCUUGUGGCCAGAUGAACCUCCCUUUUGGUUAGUAUCAAACAUACACUUUACUAAGUGAUUUGGGCCACUCAGCAACUUGUCCUCAUUAAUAACAAAUUAGUAGAUAAAAAAAAUUGUAUUUUAUUUCAUGUCAUUUAUGAAAAUAUUGUACAUUGUUGAACAGAUCUGUAGAAUUAGUCCACUGUGAAUGAAAAACUUCCUCUCCAAAAGUAAUUUAAUAUAAAUUGACCUUUUAGUUUUUCCCCUUCAGAUUCUCAAGUGAGAUUACAAAACCCUCAACUAUACUGUCAUACAAUAAUCAAUUCUGCCAUACAAUAAUCAGCCACAUCUGCCAUCUCAUUUAGUCUUGUAGGUUUGUUUAGCAAAGCCAGAGUUGCUUUUUCCCAAAGCCAUGUAGAGGGGCCUUACUGAGGUCAGCUUAUUAUUUACUCACUGCACAGACCUAGAGUUUGAUCUUAUUGAUCCCUGUCACAACAUCCACUUUUUUGGAACUUUCCCAGUUUUCCAAGGUAAACUUAAAAAUCAUGUCAUCACCAUUCAGGGAGCUCCUUACCACUUUAGUGCUCAUAAAUUCACUAUCUGUUCUUGUCAGACUUUAAUACUUGCACAAUAAUGUCAUUUACAACAAACUUUAUGAUUUAUUUUUAAGCAAAAAUAUCAGUAGCCUUUAUACAGCUGCACUAGAUGCUACCACUAGCUGCUCUGAAAUUCCUGAUGUAUCACUUCUCCAAACUCACGGAGAAGUCUUAGGCAAACCAACUGGCUAACUUGGUACAAAACCAGACUGACAUUAAAAGGACAACCAAACCAAGAGACUUCUUCCUUAUUCCACACAGAACCUAAAGACAUAUGGGAAGUUCAAGUACUAACAGAUUCAAGACAUAUAAAGAUAUUAACAGGAAAGCCUUUUUUAACAGGAGAUACCUUCUCUUUACUUUCGAGAUCAAAAUAACUGCAGCAUGUAACAUGUCUGACCACCUCAGGUGCCCAUUUUUAUCCACACUUUGGACUGGUGACACACAGUGAGCCCCAUUCUUCCAUUCUGCCCCUUACUCUGCAACUUCUUUCAAAAGGAGUCUCUCCUUUACAAUCACCUAGAAAGUUACGUACUCUCCGCACCUCUAUUUUAGAGUAUAUGCAAAGCUCACAGCAGCCCUCAGGGAGGAAGGGGGAGAAGAAGGGGGAGAAACACCUGGAACUGGAACUCAACUGCAGCAAUUCCCCCGUGCCCUAAGCUUACCUGUAGCAAGCCUUUCAGUACCUUUCCCAGGGUGAAUUCAGUAUCUUUCACAGGAUGAACGUCUUUUGCUAAACCAAGACGAAAUGGUUCUUUGUAAACCAGAGUAAGCACAUGACCUUUUUUAUUUGUUGUCUCAGCUGAAAUUAGUGAUAUUUAUAAAUGAAGAACAUCCUUUCAGAAAAGCUGUGACAGUUACCAGAACAGUAAAAAUACAAUAGAGUCCUGAGAGAUAAAAAUUUAUUUAUCUGAUCAGCAUGUCAUGAUAUGGUCACAACUCAUACAGCUGACAUUCUCAUAGCCAAAAGAGGGAUGUUUUUUCUUUUUAAAAAUACAUUUUUCUUUCCAGCAGGAAGGAUUUUUUAAAACAAACAUUUCAUACUAGGCAGGAAUUAAAAACAAUGGCUUUUUCAAUAUGACAACACCGCUGGUAAGCACUGGAUCCUCCACCAGUGUCUUAAUAUUGAGAUUUCAAGUUUUCCUUCCCACUCCCCGACUCCCCCCACCCCUCACAGAAAAACACCACACAGAAAAACAAGACAAAACCCAGAAGGGAAACAAAGAGGUAGACGUCACUACAACCAUGGCGCUGUUUUGGAAAUUGUGCAAGAUGUCUCAUGAUGCUCCAAGGAGUUCCUUUUUCCUUUAUUACACAUUGCAGUAUUGCAGACCAGCAGUUAACAUAAAAGGUGACAUGGAGCUAAGAGCUAUUGUUAGGGAGAGAUGCCAGGGCCACAGAAUGAAUGGUGCUGUUCCACUUGAUAUUGCUUUGCCUAGCUAGAGCUGUUUAAAAACAGACCACUUUAAAAAUACACGUAUCUCACAGUAAUUACGGACUUGCUCGCAACGAGGUUGGAGUCACAUCAUUUUAGGAUGGUGGUAAUGCAGGGUCAGUGGGGUCUCAGGUUCUGCUCUUGGCAUGCCCUCAACUCAGAAACUUAAAGAUUCAUUGCUACACAGUGACUUGCAGAGAAAUUACGCAGCCUGAGCACCGGCACAGCUUCCAGAGGGCGCUGGAGUGAGUGAGGGCGGGGCUGCAGAAGCUGCUUUCCCCUCUCUUCCCUCUUGCUACACUCCUGCCAUUACCACUUCUGGCAUAGAAACAUUUGUCUCUCUGUCCUUCCUCAUGAAUGCUCUAACAAACAAUGUUAUCUAUCACAAAUUAACACUGCAGCUGUGUAGUGAACCAAAGUGUUAUUUUACUAUUUGUUGUGUUUAUGGUAAGCACAAUAAAGGGUGUGUAUCUAUUAGUUAUAAGCACAAUAAAUAUAACCAAAGAAAAUAAUCUAAUCUAUUAAGGAUUAGAAGCAUAUGAAAUAAUCUUGACCAAAAAAAAAAAUAAA